CAUGAUACAGAACGAUACCUUUAUUAUUUUCUUGCAACGCAUCAUCAAUUUAAUGAACGGAUGUGUUGGUUCAUUUGAAGAGGAUAUCCUUUUCUUUAAUAAUAAAUGAAGAGAAAAAUUGGCGAAGCGGUAUCUGCUCUUUCAUCUAUUCCAAAAGGUUAUGUGUUGUUUGUAUCUUAAACAAAGGUUGAUAUGUUUGAGAAAGAUGAAUGGGGUAGAUAAGUCAUGAGAAUCAACGGGGUGGCUUGAACCGGUAACAUGAAAGACGAAAAUAACUCACAGAUUCAGGUGGUAGAAAGGCGAAAAUGAUCAAGUCUUGGAAGAGGGACAAUGAUGGAAAGAUUUAGUGAUGUUUUGUUUAAAAAUAUAGGUUUUCUUAUCGGGUCAAUUUGACCUAGUUAUUUGCAUUUUGGAGUUUAACUUUAAUGUUUGUUUUAGUCAAGUGCUAGUAUAUCAAUGUUGUAAUGGGUUAUGCUUGUUUUAUAAAAAGCUUGGUUAUUAAGCAGGUUUUGUUUUUGU